rnacentral:rRNA from 1 species
GAUCCUGGCUCAGGAUGAACGCUAGCUACAGGCUUAACACAUGCAAGUCGAGGGGCAGCAUGUUGGUUGCUUGCAACCGAUGAUGGCGACCGGCGCACGGGUGAGUAACGCGUAUCCAACCUACCCUUGUCCAUCGGAUAACCCGUCGAAAGGCGGCCUAACACGAUAUGCGGUUCACCGCAGGCAUCUAACGUGAACGAAUGUGAGAGAGAGUGGAUGCGU